rnacentral:rRNA from 1 species
UACGGAGGGGGCUAGCGUUGUUCGGAAUUACUGGGCGUAAAGCGCACGUAGGCGGCUUUGCAAGUUAGAGGUGAAAGCCCGGAGCUUAACUCCGGAAUUGCCUUUAAAACUGCAUCGCUAGAAUUGUGGAGAGGUGAGUGGAAUUCCGAGUGUAGAGGUGAAAUUCGUAGAUAUUCGGAAGAACACCAGUGGCGAAGGCGACUCACUGGACACAUAUUGACGCUGAGGCACGAAAGCGUGGGGAGCAAACAGG